rfam:Ordospora colligata strain FT-24-7 16S small subunit ribosomal RNA gene and internal transcribed spacer, complete sequence; and large subunit ribosomal RNA gene, partial sequence.
CACCAGGUUGAUUCUGCCUGACGUGGAUGCUAGUGUCUGAGAUUAAGCCAUGCAUGUGAGUGAAUGUAGUAAGCAGGAACUGCGGACGGCUCAGUAAGACUACGAUGAAAUGAUCUGCGAAGAAGAAGUAACGGCGGGAAACUGAAGAAGAGAGUUUUUGAGAAUACUUGAAGGGAUGCGGAGAAGUGAUUUUUGAAGUGAUGUUGAGUAUUUGAGCGGAGUGUGUUGUAGACCUAUCAGCUGGUAGCUAGGGUAAUGGCCUAGGUAGGCGACGACGGGAGACGGGGGAUUAGGGUUUGAUUCCGGAGAGGGAGCCUGAGAGAUGGCUACUACGUCCAAGGAUGGCAGCAGGCGCGAAACUUGCCUAAUCCUGUGGGGAGGCGGUUAUGAGACGUAUGAUAUUGUUAUGAAGCGGACGAUGAAAGAGUCAGUGGAUAUUGGAGGGCAAGUCGGGUGCCAGCAGCCGCGGUAAUACCUGCUCCGAUGGUGUCUAUGGUGAAUGCUGCGGUUAAAAAGUCUGUAGUCAAGUGAGGAUGUGUAUGAGUAUGAAGGUGAGUGAACUAGAGUUGAAUAAGCUUGUAUGUAUGAGGAGAGCAACGGAGGGGGUGCACUGGAUAGCUGGGCGAGAGGUGAAAUGUGAAGACCCUGGCUGGACGAACGGAGGCGAAGGCUGUGUGCCAUGACGAAUGUGAUGAUCAAGGACGAAGGCCAGAGGAUCGAAAUCGAUUAGAUACCGUUUUAGUUCUGGCAGUAAACGAUGCUGACGGGAUGACAUGUAUGUGUGUUAUGCAAGAGAAAUUGAGUAUGUGAGCUCUGGGGAUAGUAUGUUCGCAAGGGUGAAACUUAAAGAGAUUGACGGAAGGACACCACAAGGAGUGGAGUGUGCGGCUUAAUUUGACUCAACGCGGGGCAACUUACCAGGGCUGAAGAUGUGUGGAGAACUGAGAGGGGAGCACAUUGGCGGUGGUGCAUGGCCGUUUGAAACGGAUGGCGUGAGCUGAGGAUUAAUUUCCGGAAGGCGUGAGACCCACAAGACAGGUUGUUUGGAUGACAGGAGGGAGUGGAACAGAACAGGUCCGUUAUGCCCUGAGAUGUCCUGGGCGGCACGCGCACUACGAUACGUGUAUGAGAUGUGUGAGGGAUGAAUGUGUGGAAUGGCAUUCUGAACGUGGAAUUCCUAGUAAUGGUGGCUCAACAAGCCGACGUGAAUGUGUCCCUGUCCUUUGUACACACCGCCCGUCGCUAUCUGAGAUGGCACAUGGGACGAACACCGAGGGGUGUGAGUCUUCUGUGGUAGAUGAGAUAUAAGUCGUAACAUGGCUGCGGUUGGAGAACCAGCUGCAGGAUCAUCA